UGGGGAAUAUUGCACAAUGGGCGAAAGCCUGAUGCAGCGACGCCGCGUGAGGGAUGACGGCCUUCGGGUUGUAAACCUCUUUCAGCAGGGAAGAAGCGAAAGUGACGGUACCUGCAGAAGAAGCGCCGGCUAACUACGUGCCAGCAGCCGCGGUAAUACGUAGGGCGCAAGCGUUGUCCGGAAUUAUUGGGCGUAAAGAGCUCGUAGGCGGUUAGUCGCGUCUGCUGUGAAAACUCGAGGCUCGACCUCGGGCUUGCAGUGGGUACGGGCCGACUAGAGUGCGGUAGGGGUGACUGGAAUUCCUGGUGUAGCGGUGGAAUGCGCAGAUAUCAGGAGGAACACCGAUGGCGAAGGCAGGUCACUGGGCCGCAACUGACGCUGAGGAGCGAAAGCAUGGGGAGCGAACAGGAUUAGAUACCCUGGUAGUCCAUGCCGUAAACGUUGGGCACUAGGUGUGGGGUCCAUUCCACGGAUUCCGUGCCGCAGCAAACGCAUUAAGUGCUCCGCCUGGAGAGUACGGCCGCAAGGCUAAAACUCAAAUGAAUUGACGGGGUCAUAGCUGUUUCCU
rnacentral:rRNA from 1 species